AAUAUUGCGCAAUGGACGGAAGUCUGACGCAGCGACGCCGCGUGAACGAUGACGGCCUUCUGGUCNUAAAGCUCUGUCCUUGGGGGNUAAUGUCUUCGGACUUGACGGUACCCCAGUAGAAAGCCCCGGCUAACUACGUGCCAUCAACCGCGGUAAUACGUAGGGGGCGAGCGUUGUCCGGAAUUACUGGGCGUCAAGGGUGCGUAGGCGGCCCUUUAAGUCAGAUGUGAAAGACCACGGCUUAGCCGUGGGAUUGCAUUUGAAACUGGAGGGCUUGAGUGUCGGAGAGGGUAGUGGAAUUCCCAGUGUAGCGGUGAAAUGCGUAGAUAUUGGGAGGAACACCAGUGGCGAAGGCGGCUUCCUGGACUGCACCUGACGCUGAGGCGCGAAAGCUAGGAGAGCGAAC
rnacentral:rRNA from 1 species